GGAAAUAAAUGUGUUUAGGGUACUGUUGAUGUUUCUUAAAGAGACUAAAGGGAUCUGUGCAGUGGGGGGAAGUAGAUCUCUGCAUUGUUGAAAAUUUUUGUAACUCUUGAAAUUUUAAUUGUUUGACAUAACUAAAUUUAGCUCUAUUAAGCAUAAUUUACUUUAAUA